GGGUGGGUGGGGAGGGUCUGCCUCCUCUUCCUCACCCGCCGAACAAUACUCAUUCCUGAUGCUGUUUUGAGUUCCGCAGAGCCGGGCAGCUUAACAAAGGUUAGAUUAAGAUGUGGCCAAAAGAAGCAGCCGAUAUCAGUUAGGGUCAUUGCAUAUGCUUGGCCGAUGUGUAACGGAGCCUGAACUUAAAUCCCCCCCUAAAUAAAAGGGACACAAGCACCACCGGGGUCGCUCCAUCUUGAGCCAGUUACCGGGAGCUCGGCUGAAAGCCGAAACGUCGCCGCCUCACUUCUCAAGCGGGCGCGCGCUGCGCCUCUUAAAGUUCAUUUUAUCGAGGGGCGUAAUUAUAAGGCAAAAUUCUCCAGUUUUCGUUUUUCUUAAAGCAUUUGUUUGGCUGACUCACGUGAACGUAAAGUGCGAUUGGCUCCGCGUUUUUUUUUUUUUUAAUUGGCGAGCGGAUUAGUGGAGUUUGGUUCAGCGCUUCUGAUUAUUUUUGCCUGGCCUAAAGGGGGCCGAGCUAAACCCCUAAUACGGCCGGUACCCCUAAGCGCUCUUCUUUUUGAAGACACCAAACAUUAAAAAAAAAAAGCAAAAGUCGCCUCUGCUAGCGUCGGGCCCUCCGAGGAUCGUGGAUAAGGGACAUUAUUCUCAGAAUAGGCAAUUAAUUUUCCGCCGGCAACGAUCGGUUGGAGCUUCUUCCCCCACCGAAUGCCCUCCUCUCCGCCCUCCACUCGCCAUUUGAAAUGCUAACACAAUGAAAUAUUUUUCUAUUGGUCGGCGUCCCUCGGCUAAGCCGCCGCCGGCGGGCAAAGAAUCCCAUCGACUGAUGAGACCACAGGCACGACCGAUAAAAAGGUUACGUGUACGUGACACGCACUCCAAGCAGCGCGCUGCACCUUCAACACUCAAGUUCCGUAACUUUUAUUUGACUUUUUAUUGUUUGCGAGGGAGGGGCUUGUUUAGCCGCCGAGGCUGAAAAGGAAGCGUUUUUUUGUUAGCGUAUUACCGAAAAAACUUGAGGACAACGUAACCAUUUUUUCUUCUUUUUUUCAUGAAGCAAUCUCCUUGCAUUUGAUUUAUUUUUCCGAGCGACGGCGUUUCUAUUGUCCGCUGAUUGUUUGACGAUUUUUGCUUUUUUUUCAUUAACAGGAAACGGGCUGGUUUAAUGCAUUUAAUGUACCGUUGCUAUGCAACUGAGAAAUUCAUUUGAAUGGUGGGAAAUUGAUUAAAAACAAUAAUUUAUACUUGCAGUGAAUUCUUAGUUUGAUCGUUUUUGAGGCGACCAGAAACCGUUUGCUCUCGUUUGCAAACCCCCCCCCUCCUCUUUCGACACAACACGGUAUACAUUUUGUAUCCAUUGUGUUGGAUUUCACAAUAGCUCGGCUUGGCUGUGUGCGAGUAAAGAACAAUCCGGGGUUUGGCACACAUUUCCUCCACCUUCAGGGAGAGGCGCGGACGACCGCCAGGGAGUGGGAGGAGGAUUCCAGGCUGUUUUUAAAUUGUUAGUAAAAGAUAUAUGGGCACAGAACAGGUAUGGCUGCUGCAGUACCCCCCCCCAAAACCCCAUCUUUCAUGCACGUAUACAGCACACACACACACACACACACGCACGUACGCACACAGGGUGCUGUGCGAGGACUGAGGCAGGUGGCUCCCCAUGGCUGCAGCUUCAUGACAACAUGCCAUUAGAAAUAGCGGGCCUGUUGAUCAAUCCUGCCGACAUGACAGCUUCGCCGCGAGGCCCGGCUCUUUGAGUGCCGACGCCGCGGCAGCUCCCUCUCCCGUUUCUCCCCACUAAUUGGUGAAGGUUUCUCUUAUAUAUGCUCGUGGCACAGGGCUUUUUUUUUUCUCUCCUCCACCUCCUCCUUUUCUUCUUUUUCUCCCUCUUUUUUAGCUUCUUUUUUCCCCCCUCUACACCCCCACUGCUGCCACCCAUUUUUUUAUAUCUUAUCUCCCCAUAUAUAUAUAUAUAUAUACGAAGUAUCUAUUUUUUUAUUUUCAUUUUAACAUUGUCACAUUGCAAGCGGUAACUUUGGAGGAGAUAUUGCAGGUGGGUUGAGCAGAGGGAUGUGUGCGCCGCGGGCGCUGUUCGUUCUGUGUUUUUUCGCGGGACUGUUGGAGCUGGGAUUUGACAUUGACUCUAGGCAAUGUGCAUCAGCACCAGAUACACAAUGGGGAUCAUCCACAAAACAAAAAAAAAAGCAUCCUUUUCAGGUGAAAUGAAGGAGAAAAUAGACCUUUGAUACCAUUUUAUUCCUAAUUGCCUGGUUUAUUUGUAAAAAUUCAGGCUGUGACGCUGUAAAUACUGUAAUUAAGUGACACUGUGUCAUUUACGUUGAUACGCGUUUAUUUAUUUGAUUUUUUUAUUUUUUUUGGUGCUUUUCACAAGCAGCUGUGCGGCGGAAUCACGUAUUUGUGUCUUAUUUGAUUUAUCGUGUAAUCCCUUUCCCUUCUCAUCAAACAGAAUUAGGUUGCAAAUGUCAAAACAAUUGUGAGGAAAUGGCUGUUUGUUGCCAGGCUGACGCGUCGCGGCG
ensembl:lncRNA